GCCAGUAGUCAUAUGCUUGUCUCAAAGAUUAAGCCAUGCAAGUCUGAGUAUAAUUGGUUUACGGUGAAACUGCGAAUGGCUCAUUAAAUCAGUUAUAGUUUAUUUGAUGCUAUAGGCCGCAAGGCCACUACAUGGAUAUCUGUAGUAACAUAGAGCUAAUACAUGCAAUAUAGUCUGACUUUUUGGAAGGACUAGCACUUAUUAGAUAUUAAACCAGUCCCAGCAAUGGGUUUUAUGGUGAUUCAUAGUAACUGAACAAAUCACAUGGUCUUGUGCCGGUGAUGUUUCAUUCAAAUUUCUGCCCUAUCAACUAGAUGGUAGUAUAUAGGACUACCAUGGUUGUAACGGGGUAACGGAGGAUUAGGGGUUUGAUUCCGGAGAAGGAGCAUGAGAAACGGCUACUAUUUCUAAGGAAAGCAGCAGG
rnacentral:rRNA from 1 species